rnacentral:rRNA from 1 species
UACGAAGGGGGCUAGCGUUGCUCGGAAUCACUGGGCGUAAAGCGCACGUAGGCGGAUCUUUAAGUCAGGGGUGAAAUCCUGGAGCUCAACUCCAGAACUGCCUUUGAUACUGGGGAUCUCGAGUCCGGGAGAGGUGAGUGGGAACUGCGAGUGUAGAGGUGAAAUUCGUAGAUAUUCGCAAGAACACCAGUGGCGAAGGCGGCUCACUGGCCCGGUACUGACGCUGAGGUGCGAAAGCGUGG